rnacentral:rRNA from 1 species
UCAGGCGUGGGUCAAGUUAACAAGAAACAUCACAGGUUGAGCUAAGCAGGGUUGAGCCUGGUUAGUACCUGGAUGGGAGACCUCCUGGGAAAACUAGGUUGCUGCUGGAA